GUGAGGAAUAUUGGACAAUGGGCGCAAGCCUGAUCCAGCGACGCCGCGUGGAGGACGAAGGCCUUCGGGUUGUAAACUCCUUUUGGAGGGGAAGAAUAAAUUGACGGUACCCUCAGAAAAAGCCACGGCUAACUACGUGCCAGCAGCCGCGGUAAUACGUAGGUGGCGAGCGUUACUCGGAAUUACUAGGCGUAAAGCGUAUGUAGGUGGUUAGAUAAGUCUAUGGUGAAAUUUCCUGGCUUAACUGGGAAGGGACAUAGAUACUAUCUGGCUUGAGUGUGGGAGGGGGAGACGGAAUUCCUGGUGUAGCGGUGAAAUGCGUAGAUAUCAGGAGGAACACCGAUGGCGAAAGCAGUCUCCUGGCCCAAUACUGACACUGAGGUACGAAAGCUAGGGUAGCAAACAGGAUUAGAUACCCUAGUAGUCC
rnacentral:rRNA from 1 species